rfam:Spirochaetes bacterium GWC1_61_12 gwc1_scaffold_648, whole genome shotgun sequence.
UGGGACGUAGACAAGCGGUAAGUCAGCGGUUUUUGGUUCCGCCACUCGCAGGUUCGAGUCCUGCCGUCCCAA